GCAGAGCAGCAGCUCAGCUGGAGACUGUUUAGGAGUUCCCAGAAAGGAAAGAAAAUGAAACAUGGUGCAGUUCAUCAGGAGGAAGAUUUAAAUGGGACUGAUUACCCUCUGUCUUGUACCCUGUCUUGCACAUCUUAGACUGGCAUCAAGAAUCAACUGUCCACAAGAUACGUUCAUCCACCACCCCCUGCAAUAGUGCUGGAGACCAC